rnacentral:rRNA from 1 species
AUGAAACAAGUCUGCGGUAGUUCAAAACUGGAAUUGGCACAAUAUCGCGAAGUGGCCGCCUUCACUCAAUUUGGGUCAGACCUUGAUGCUGCGACUCAGGCAUUACUCAAUAGAGGUGCAAGGCUUACAGAAGUGCCCAAACAACCACAAUAUGAACCACUUCCAAUUGAGAAACAAAUUGUUGUGAUUUAUGCUGCUGUCAACGGCUUCUGUGAUCGAAUGCCACUAGAAAGAAUUUCUCAAUAUGAAAAAGCCAUUCUAAGUACUAUUAAUCCUGAAUUAAAAAAAGCUUUCUUUCAGUUCCUUUUCAAAGUCACCACUAAUUAUUUUGUGCCAGGAAGCAGUUUGAUUUUCGGUAUUAUUGCGGGUUUCUUU